AUCCCAAAAAGUGCGUCGUAGUCCGGAUUGGAGUCUGCAACUCGACUCCAUGAAGUCGGAAUCGCUAGUAAUCGUGGAUCAGAAUGCCACGGUGAAUACGUUCCCGGGCCUUGUACACACCGCCCGUCACACCAUGGGAGUGGGCUGCAAAAGAAGUAGGUAGUUUAACCUUCGGGGGGACGCUUACCACUUUGUGGUUCAUGACUGGGGUGAAGUCGUAACAAGGUAGCGCUAGGGGAACCUGGCGCUGGAUCACCUCCUUAUACGAUGAU
rnacentral:rRNA from 1 species